AUUGAACGCUGGCGGCAGUCCUAACACAUGCAAGUCGAACGGUAACAGAAAGCAGCUUGCUGCUUUGCUGACGAGUGGCGGACGGGUGAGUAAUGUCUGGGAAACUGCCUGAUGGAGGGGGAUAACUACUGGAAACGGUAGCUAAUACCGCAUAACGUCGCAAGACCAAAGAGGGGGACCUUCGGGCCUCUUGCCAUCGGAUGUGCCCAGAUGGGAUUAGCUUGUUGGUGGGGUAACGGCUCACCAAGGCGACGAUCCCUAGCUGGUCUGAGAGGAUGACCAGCCACACUGGAACUGAGACACGGUCCAGACUCCUACGGGAGGCAGCAGUGGGGAAUAUUGCACAAUGGGCGCAAGCCUGAUGCAGCCAUGCCGCGUGUAUGAAGAAGGCCUUCGGGUUGUAAAGUACUUUCAGCGGGGAGGAAGGGAGUAAAGUUAAUACCUUUGCUCAUUGACGUUACCCGCAGAAGAAGCACCGGCUAACUCCGUG
rnacentral:rRNA from 1 species